GAUGAACGCUGGCGGCGUGCUUAACACAUGCAAGUCGAACGAUGAAGCCCAGCUUGCUGGGUGGAUUAGUGGCGAACGGGUGAGUAACACGUGAGUAACCUGCCCUUGACUCUGGGAUAAGCCUGGGAAACUGGGUCUAAUACUGGAUAUGACUUCUCAUCGCAUGGUGGGGGGUGGAAAGAUUUAUUGGUCUUGGAUGGACUCGCGGCCUAUCAGCUUGUUGGUGAGGUAAUGGCUCACCAAGGCGACGACGGGUAGCCGGCCUGAGAGGGUGACCGGCCACACUGGGACUGAGACACGGCCCAGACUCCUACGGGAGGCAGCAGUGGGGAAUACUGCACAAUGGGCGCAAGCCUGAUGCAGCGACGCCGCGUGAGGGAUGACGGCCUUCGGGUUGUAAACCUCUUUCAGUAUGGAAGAAGCGAGAGUGACGGUACCUGCAGAAGAAGCGCCGGCUAACUACGUG
rnacentral:rRNA from 1 species